GCGCCCGUAGCUCAGCUGGAUAGAGCAAUGGCCUUCUAAGCCAUGGGUCGCAGGUUCGAAUCCUGCCGGGCGCGCCA
rnacentral:tRNA from 2 species